rnacentral:rRNA from 1 species
UACGAAGGGGGCUAGCGUUGCUCGGAAUUACUGGGCGUAAAGCGCACGUAGGCGGCUUUCUAAGUCGGGGGUGAAAUCCUGGAGCUCAACUCCAGAACUGCCUUCGAUACUGGAAAGCUCGAGUCCGGGAGAGGUGAGUGGAACUGCGAGUGUAGAGGUGAAAUUCGUAGAUAUUCGCAAGAACACCAGUGGCGAAGGCG